CAAGAUUAAGCCAUGCAUGUCUAAGUAUAAGCAAUUUUACGGUGAAACUGCGAAUGGCUCAUUAAAUCAGUUAUAGUUUAUUUGAUGGUACUUUACUACAUGGAUAACUGUGGUAAUUCUAGAGCUAAUACAUGCGUAAAAGCCCCAACUUUUUGGAAGGGGUGUAUUUAUUAGGUAAAAACCAACCGCUUCGGCGUCCUUUGGUGAAUCAUAAUAACUUUUCUAAUCGCAUGGCCUUGUGCCGGCGAUGCUUCAUUCAAAUAUCUGCCCUAUCAACUUUGAUGGUAGGAUAGAGGCCUACCAUGGUUGCAACGGGUAACGGGGAAUAAGGGUUCGAUUCCGGAGAGGGAGCCUGAGAAACGGCUACCACAUCCAAGGAAG
rnacentral:rRNA from 1 species